AGAGUUUGAUCCUGGCUCAGGAUGAACGCUGGCGGUAUGCUUAACACAUGCAAGUCGAACGAGAGUUUUUAACUCUAGUGGCGAACGGGUGCGUAAUACGUGAGAAUCUGCCCUUAGGAGAAGAAUAACUACUGGAAACGGUAGCUAAGUCUUCAUAUGCCGAGAGGUGAAAUAGUUUCAACUGCCUAUGGAUGAGCUCACGCCUGAUUAGCUAGUUGGUGAGGUAAUGGCUUACCAAGGCCACGAUCAGUAGCUGGUUUGAGAGAACGAUCAGCCACACUGGGACUGAGACACGGCCCAGACUCCUCCGGGAGGCAGCAGUGAGGAAUUUUCCGCAAUGGGCGAAAGCCUGACGGAGCAAUACCGCGUGAGGGAUGAAGGAUCUUGGUCUGUAAACCUCUUUUCUCAAGAAAGAAGUUCUGACGGUACUUGAGGAAUAAGCAUCGGCUAACUCCGUGCCAGCAGCCGCGGUAAUACGGGGGAUGCAAGCGUUAUCCGGAAUCAUUGGGCGUAAAGCGCCUGUAGGUUGUUUAAUAAGUCUGUUGUUAAAGACUAGGGCUUAACCCUAGAAAAGCAAUGGAAACUACUAGACUUGAGUACGGCAGGGGUAGAGGGAAUU
rnacentral:rRNA from 1 species